rnacentral:rRNA from 1 species
CCUACGGGCGGCAGCAGUAGGGAAUCUUCCACAAUGGGCGAAAGCCUGAUGGAGCAACGCCGCGUGGGUGAAGAAGGUCCUCGGAUCGUAAAACCCUGUUGUUAGAGAAGAAAGUGCGUGAGAGUAACUGUUCACGUUUCGACGGUAUCUAUCCAGCAAGCCACGGCUAACUACGUGCCAGCAGCCGCGGUAAUACGUAGGUGGCAAGCGUUAUCCGGAUUUAUUGGGCGUAAAGGGAGCGCAGGCGGUCUUUUAAGCCAGAUGUGAAAGCCCUAGGCUUAACCCGGGGAGUGCAUUGGAAACUGGGAGACUUGAGUGCAGAAGAGGAGAGUGGAACUCCAUGUGUAGCGGUGAAAUGCGUAGAUAUAAGGAAGAACACCGGUGGCGAAGGCGGCUCUCUGGUCUGUAACUGACGCUGAGGUUCGAAAGCGUGGGGAGCAAACAGGAUUAGAUACCCUUGUAGUC